rnacentral:lncRNA from 1 species
UUCACGAAGGGUCUUAAUUUUGUACCCAAAAAAAAGGUAAGAAAACACAGCACGCUGCUGAAGAGACAGAGACUGGACAACGACGUAGGUUCACGACAGGCUUGACUUGGAGGCAGAAACUUUGACUUGGACCUCGCACGACAGAGGCCGUCGGCAUCGAGAUUUUAAAUUUCUGCAGCAGUGGCAACGAAGGAUCUAUGUAUUAGUUAUCCAUCAAUUACAGAUCUACAUCAGGUACUUAUGUAAUGACCCGGCCAAAAGACUUCACAAACCCAAACUUUUCCGCACG